GCGGACGUGGUGCACGGUGCACUGCUGCACUCAAUGAAUAGUUGGUAGUUCAAUGCAUCGAAUGCAGCUGUUGGGGUUCGACUCCCCGCGUCCGCA